UUGAACGCUGGCGGAAUGCUUUACACAUGCAAGUCGAGCGGCAGCGCGGGGGCAACCCUGGCGGCGAGCGGCGAACGGGUGAGUAAUGUAUCGGAACGUACCCAGUCGUGGGGGAUAACUAUCCGAAAGGAUAGCUAAUACCGCAUACGUCCUGAGGGAGAAAGCGGGGGAUCGCAAGACCUCGCGCGAUUGGAGCGGCCGAUAUCGGAUUAGCUAGUUGGUGAGGUAAAGGCUCACCAAGGCGACGAUCGAUAGCUGGUCUGAGAGGACGACCAGCCACACUGGAACUGAGACACGGUCCAGACUCCUACGGGAGGCAGCAGUGGGGAAUUUUGGACAAUGGGGGCAACCCUGAUCCAGCCAUUCCGCGUGAGUGAAGAAGGCCUUCGGGUUGUAAACUGCUUUUGUACGGAGCGAAAAGGCUCUCUCUAAUACAGGGGGCUCAUGACGGUACCGUAAGAAUAAGCACCGGCUAACUACGU
rnacentral:rRNA from 1 species